GUUCAAGGGUUCAGUCAUUGUUCGCUGAGAAAUAUGUUUAUUUCGGUUUAUGACACUUCACUUUGGAAAUCACAGCAAUAUUAAACGUUAGGAAUUACUGAUUUUUUUAUUUAUUGAUAUUUAAAUUAUAUAAAUUAUGUACUAUUUAAAACACGACAACGAGUGUUUUGAAUAGCUUAAAAUACGACUACAAAAGAAUACUAAUUAGGAUGAACCAUAAUAUAAUCAUACUAAUUAGGAUGAACAAUUAUAUAAUGCC